AAGUCGUAACAAGGUUUCCGUAGGUGAACCUGCGGAAGGAUCAUUAUUGAAUAAACUUGAUGUGGUUGUAGCUGGCUCUCUAGGGAGUAUGUGCACGCCCGUCAUCUUUAUAUUUCCACCUGUGCACCUUUUGUAGACCCGGAAGACUUCAUCUGAAGUCGUUUGGGCCUACGUUUAUCAUAUACCCCAUAGUAUGUAAUAGAAUGUAUUAGUGGGCUUUAUGCCUAUAAACACUAUACAACUUUCAGCAACGGAUCUCUUGGCUCUC
rnacentral:misc_RNA from 1 species